UACGGAGGAUCCAAGCGUUAUCCGGAAUCAUUGGGUUUAAAGGGUCCGUAGGUGGGCCGUUAAGUCAGAGGUGAAAUCCUGCAGCUCAACUGUAGAAUUGCCUUUGAUACUGGCGGCCUUGAAUCAUUGUGAAGUGGUUAGAAUAUGUGGUGUAGCGGUGAAAUGCAUAGAUAUCACAUAGAAUACCGAUUGCGAAGGCAGAUCACUAACAAUGCAUUGACACUGAUGGACGAAAGCGUGGGGAGCGAACAGG
rnacentral:rRNA from 1 species